rnacentral:lncRNA from 1 species
UUGGUUAGGUGCAACAAGAACCGAUGUACUGCGCUUAUUCACAAUAGUUUUAGUGAUCAUUUUCUAUAACACAGAGCACAGUUGAAAAUGAGUGAAUAUUUUCGAACCACUCACCUUAGGAACUCAGGCAACCGAUGUCUGGAUCCAAUUCUUGACCUUGAAACACUCUUUGUAAUGGCCCAAUAUUGCCCAGCCCGAUAAUAAAAAUAAUAAAAUAAAAAAUAGUCUAAAAACCACAGUGUCUAUUUACAAUAACCUAACCACUAGCACCCCAAUUACGCCUAGCCCAACUAGCCUAAGCCUAACCCAAUAACCCCAAAUCAUUUAACCUAAUUCAGCCCAACCUAGCCCAAAAUAUGCCCCAAACCCCGAAACCCUAGCCUUUAGCAUCACCGCCCUCCAACCGCCGCAACAGUGAACUCAUCACACCGCCUUGCACGCCACGUCGGCAUUCGUACGCCCCAGCUGGCCCUCGUACGACUGCACUUGCGCAGCAAUGCAACAAACGCACACAAGCAGACAAGCAAAAACAAACAAACAGAAAACGACAGCAAAGAAAAAAGAAAAAAGAUAUUGGUUGUAUUUUUGGAUUGAUUUUGUUUCGGCUAUAAAGCCA